rnacentral:rRNA from 1 species
UGGGGAAUUUUGGACAAUGGGCGAAAGCCUGAUCCAGCAAUGUCGCGUGUGUGAAGAAGGCCUUCGGGUUGUAAAGCACUUUUGUCCGGAAAGAAAUGGCUCUGGUUAAUACCUGGGGUCGAUGACGGUACCGGAAGAAUAAGGACCGGCUAACUACGUGCCAGCAGCCGCGGUAAUACGUAGGGUCCAAGCGUUAAUCGGAAUUACUGGGCGUAAAGCGUGCGCAGGCGGUUGUGCAAGACCGAUGUGAAAUCCCCGAGCUUAACUUGGGAAUUGCAUUGGUGACUGCACGGCUAGAGUGUGUCAGAGGGGGGUAGAAUUCCACGUGUAGCAGUGAAAUGCGUAGAGAUGUGGAGGAAUACCGAUGGCGAAGGCAGCCCCCUGGGAUAACACUGACGCUCAUGCACGAAAGCGUGGGGAGCAAACAGG